ensembl:lncRNA
CUACGCCACGCUCCCCAUCAGCCAGCCCUGACAGAGCUGGCAGUGCUCCGCACGGGCAGCAUUUUGGAGAGUCGCCGUCGAGAGGAAAGCAGGAAACGGAGAGAAGGGAUGAAAAAACAAGAAAGAAAGCAUAAAAUGAGAUCAAGUCUUUGUGUUUGUUGGAGCGGUCAGGAUGUACAGUAGCUGCUAAAUAAGAGAUGGAUAACAAAGAUUAGAACAAAAGAAAGUAAGUCAUGCAGGUUUGGAGUGACACGAGGUUUCCUUGUCACCCGUGUCGAUAGAAAAGGAUUAUGGCUGAAACAGAACAGGAAUGGAGGGAGUUUGAAAGAGAAGAGAGAAUGGAGGGGCCGCCAGAAAGGUCAUGUCCGAGCAACCAACCCACCUCGGGCAUUACUCAUUAACCUAGCAACAAGCUAAGUCCGGUAACAGUGAUGACCUGAGGGGGGAUCAAACCAGAGAGCAGCUUCACCACAUUUCUGAAAUUUUACCAUGAUCUUCUACUAAAUUCAAGCUGAGAGCCUCAAGUUAGCCAUGAAUAAUGACAACCUUGAGCUGUCCUGAGUUUAAAAUGAGUCAGCAUGAUCCGGGUCACUGAAGUGGAAACGUUUCAAAAACAAGACAAAUAUCUGAACCUCCAAAUGCCACAUAAAUUGCUUACCUCAAAGAUGAAACACUAAACUCAAAAAGACUGAAUGAGAGGCAGCUCUUUAAAGGGGAAAUGUCAAUUUCAUGCAAUCAAGAAAGAUCAUAAGAUGACUAGAUUAAGUUGUAUAAUAACCC